rnacentral:rRNA from 1 species
CGCGUAGGUGGUAGUGCAAGUCUGAGGUGGAAUCCUAUGGCUUAACCAUAGAACUGCCUUGGAGACUGCAUUACUUGAGUUAGUGAGGGGAGGGUAGAAUUCCUGGUGUAGCGGUGAAAUGCGUAGAUAUCAGGAGGAAGGCCGGUGGCGAAGGCGGCCCUCUGGCGCUGAACUGACACUGAGGCGCGAAAGCGUGGGGAGCAAACAGGAUUAGAUACCCUGGUAGUCCACGCCCUAAACGGUGGGUACUAGGUGUAGGGCUCGUAAGGGUUCUGUGCCGAAGCGAAAGCAUUAAGUACCCCGCCUGGGGAGUACGGCCGCAAGGUUGAA